CAGCGCCACAAGUGGUGAUCACGUUUAUUGGGCCUAAAGCGUCCGUAGCCGGUUUGAUAAAUCUUUUGUGAAAUUGUUAGGCUCAACUUAACAACGUGCAGAAGACACUGUCAAGCUAGGAACCGGGAAGAGUCAGAAGUAUUAUUGGGGUAGCGGUAAAAUGCUAUAAUCCUUUUAAGACUACCGAUGGCGAAGGCAUCUGACUAGAACGGAUUCGACGGUGAGGGACGAAAGCCAGGGGAGCGAACCGGAUUAGAUACCCGAGUAGUCC
rnacentral:rRNA from 1 species